rnacentral:rRNA from 1 species
AACCUGGUUGAUCCUGCCAGUAGUCAUAUGCUUGUCUCAAAGACUAAGCCAUGCAUGUCUAAGUAUAAGUAUUAUACAGCGAAACUGCGAAUGGCUCAUUAAAACGGUUAUAAUUUAUUUGAUAAUCGAAUUUACAUGGAUAACCGUGGUAAUUCUAGAGCUAAUACAUGCUGGUAGGCCCGACUUUUUGGAAGGGCGGUAUUUAUUAGAUAACAAACCAAUAUUCCUCUGGUCUAUUGUGGUGAAUCAUAAUAACCGAUCGAAUCGCAAGGUUUUUAACCGCGAUAAGUCAUUCAAGUCUCUGCCCCAUCAGCUUUCGAUGGUAGUGUAUUGGACUACCAUGGCUUUUACGGGUAAC